UCAUUUAUGGUCCAUGUGUAUGCAGAUGUACACUGACCCUUCCCUCUGGACUCUGACUUUUUUUCAUCCUUAUGUCUCUGUCGAAUAUAAAUAUGAACUAAAAGUGUCAACGCAAGAAACGGAAGAUAGAUGUUGGUUUGUAAAAACGACAGUGAGAAGACAAAAUCAAAAUAUAGUGUAUAAAAUAUUUCACAAGUCCUUUGAGAGAUGUCACCAAUUUUGUCCGCCUUAUUUCUUCAGGCAGGUUGUUUCGAGAAAGUCGAGACCCCCAAUGGAGAUCCCCUUAUCACCUUUAAUUUUAAGACUUGACUUUGGAGCAACCAGGGGGAAAUUGCUCAAGUAUCUGAGGCUGCAGGCUGGUUCAGAAGGGGUUAAGCAUUUGAUUAGGCAGCUUGGAGCCAAACCACGUUUUAAAAUGACAGUGGAUCCCCCGUUAUUCGCAGAGGAUAAGGACAGAUUAUACAUCAUUCCCCAUAACAACACUAUUAAACCAUAAACAUACCACAAUUUGCCGUGGAAAGUAUAUGUCUGAUAAAACACUUUUGACACGAUUUAUUUUCGAUGAAUUGAUGAACCCUCUAAAAACUCAUUUGCUUUAUUUGCCCAACACCUCCCUGAGAUCCUCUCUACAUUCAUUAGCGGUGAGCUUGUGUUCCCCUGUUGCUUUUUGCUCACAAGCGCUAUGAAGACUUUGUGCUGUGCCAAAUGUGCUACCUUGUCACUGAACAUGACCCCUUCCUUGCCCUCUGAUCACAUUCCCUGUGCGAUGCCUUUUAAUUACAUAUUCAUGAGUAAGAACCUACCUUUCUGCAUGGCAAACCUUUUUUUUUUUUUGAAAGCUCCAGCAUCUCCUUGACUGCAGCAAUUAUCAUAUUCAGAAAAGUGCUAAUUUGAAGUCCCUCUGCACUGCUACAGACUGAAUAAUCAGCAUGAAUGUCUUGCCCUUAGACACACAAUCUACUGUGACUCUCUUGAAAAGAAAACAAAUUGCAAAUCUGAAAUCUUACGAGCCAUAAACAUUACCAGUAAGAGUUGAUGUGGAAGUAAUAAUCACAACAAAGUUGUACCUAAACAACUUUAUACCAACUCUUAAUGUGCAACCGAUUGCAGGCCUUUUUUUUUUUUCUUUCAAUUGUUAUUUGGCAUUUGAUUUGCAAGGUCUCAAGGUGACCACCUAUGCUCAAUGGAUUCAUUAGAUUCUGCAUAUGUUGACAAACUUCACACCAGAUGCCGCUUUUGGUUGUUGAAUUAUGCAAACACAAGUGCACAACUCUCUGCUGGUGUGUGCCACGAUCGAUAAAUAAAUUAGCCAAAGCUAGCCCUCCGCAUUCAGACCAUUUGCAUCCCAGCCUGUAAGACCUUAUUAAUAUUUUGGACGGUUGAUUGUGGGGGGGAAAAAACAUUUGUGCCCUGGAAGCAUGAUUAAUUAAGUCUCAGUUUAAUGACUUGCCAGUUGUUGCACAGUUUAUACAUGCACGAUAGCGGCUUACACAAUGGCUCCUAUAGUAUAGCAAUUUUCAAACGCUAUUUUCUGUCGGAGGGCAUUUGGAUCAUUAUAAAGAUUAGAAAAGCUAUGACCUUGCUGCAGUUUCAAAUGUUGCAGCACCAUGGAAAUCUCAAACCGUCUAUAUUCAUAAAAUAAAUAAAUGUUUUUGCUGUGUGCCUCGGAAAUAAUCCGAGGCACUUUAUCAUUUAUUUAUGAGUUCAAUGACAAACAAAACCCCACACAAUACUACAGAAAAUGCUCAUUAUGGAAAGGGGUUACAUUUUUAGGAAGAGAAACUCUCUUACAUGUUGCUUCUCCAAUAUUGUUGUAUAAUGGAAAAUUAACUCGUCCAUUUAAUUAAUCUCACGUGAUGUAUUGACGGAUUAAUUUGAGGCAAUAUGUUUCAGGAGAUUUUAAUUCUACUUUAAUCUGUGUGACAUUUGGGACUCGAGUGUAACUUUCACAAUAUGAAUUUUAAAAAGCAGUGAUGUUUUUUUUUUCCUAUCAACUGGCUAAAGCCUCCUCGUGAGAUAACUGAGGUCUUUCCAUUGUCAGUCACGCAUUUCUAGAGAUGCUGCAGUCUUUGUGUUGGUUUGAAAUAUUUUAAUUAUGUGGUAGAAAGGAAUUUUCUUAUCUGCUUUGCCACAAAAAGGUGCAGGUUCUCUACUUCUUCUGGGUGGAGAGAGAAUAUCAAGGACAAUCAACAAUGAAACACUGUGCUGGGAAAUCAUUAGGCUACUUUGAUAGUUUGUUGAUGACUACUAUGGGUAAUUUGUGUCAUUCUACACAUUAAUACAUAUUCUGGCGUAUUUUGUGAGUAGAACACUGGAUGUAAUUAAAAAAAAAAAAUCCUCACACUUUGUAUACCAUCAGGACUGCUGUGCGUUAGAUUAGAGCCAUCAAACAUUCAGUGCGGCUUGAUGUUGGGACGUGCCAAUUUGGAGUAUUUCUUCUCGUCUUUUCAAAUAACGUUUGAGGGAAAGUUUGGGUGGGAUUUUAAAGUGCCACAAGCGAUGCUGAAGAAGAGGCUUUUCUUAUCACCUUUGCUCCUGGCUCAUACUUGCUCAUGGGACAUCUGAUGAGACGACUGAAAAGGCGUCAUGGCGGAUCAACCAUCUCUUCGCAGCUUGAAAGUUGUAGUUCACAUAGCGGCACCGCAGCCAGGUCUCCGCCCCCCCACCGACCCGAUGAAAUCCCCACACGCAUUGAGUAUACUUCAGACUUGUGAUGUGCUGCCCCUGGGCUCCCUUCAUCACCCCUGGGAGAGGUUGAGCAGCAGGGCGCCAAGAAGCUACAGGAAGGGAGAGUGUAGAAUACCGAUCAAAGGGGAGCUCAAACAGGUGCCGGGUGAGAUGUUGGGAAGUGGAAACAAGCUGCUUAUCUCACUGGCGCACCUUCUCACCCACAUCUAGUCUAUCAGUCAACCACGUUCUCCUUCAAUCAUUCACCCAUUGACUUUACUUGCACUCAGACACGCUGCAACAACUUAAUGAGGCAAUCGUGGCAGGUGACGCUUUGAAUUAGAUCCAAAUUGUGCAUCCCCCAAGUGCUCCGUGUUAUCAUUUGUUGAUGUGAAACGGCUUGUUGAGGUCUGGAACUAUCGCACACUAGUCAGUCAAGUGUCGUCUUUGCAAUCAAAGAUGGAGGAGUAAGUAGUGUGUAUAAAAUGUGUCACAAUGUAGAGGGAAAAAAAAAAUGUAUGUAUACAUACACACUUCCACAGAAAGAAAUAUAUGAGAUAAAUCAAACAGCUGUGCAAGUGUUCACCCUCACACUGGAGUUACUUGCACAAGGUAUGAGUGGAAAAAGCAGGGCUAGAUCUUUGAAGUCUUUCCCUUGAGUGCACCCUAACAGCCGUGAACAUAAAAGGGCUCUUUAAAAAAAAAAAAAAAAAGGGGGGUCUGUCUGUUCGAUUUGAAUUGAAUAGGAGCCAUGAAAGAGAAUACAUUUGCAAAUACUUUGCAUCUCAUUUUGAGGAACUCUAUCAGUCAUUAAAAAAAAAUACAGCAAACAUCUUCAUUUUUCUGCUUUUAAAAGCAGAA